rnacentral:rRNA from 2 species
AGCACAGGUUUACCUGUGUGACUGCGUACCUUUUGUAUAAUGGGUCAGCGACUUAUAUUCUGUAGCAAGGUUAACCGAAUAGGGGAGCCGGAGGGAAACCGAGUCUUAAUUGGGCGUUAAGUUGCAGGGUAUAGACCCGAAACCCGGUGAUCUAGCCAUGGGCAGGUUGAAGGUUGGGUAACACUAACUGGAGGACCGAACCGACUAAUGUUGAAAAAUUAGCGGAUGACCUGUGGCUGGGGGUGAAAGGCCAAUCAAACCGGGAGAUAGCUGGUUCUCCCCGAAAGCUAUUUAGGUAGCGCCUCGUGAAUUCAUCUCCGGGGGUAGAGCACUGUUUCGGCUAGGGGGCCAUCCCGGCUUACCAACCCGAUGCAAACUGCGAAUACCGGAGAAUGUUAUCACGGGAGACACACGGCGGGUGCUAACGUCCGUCGUGAAGAGGGAAACAACCCAGACCGCCAGCUAAGGUCCCAAAGUCAUGGUUAAGUGGGAAACGAUGUGGGAAGGCCCAGACAGCCAGGAUGUUGGCUUAGAAGCAGCCAUCAUUUAAAGAAAGCGUAAUAGCUCACUGGUCGAGUCGGCCUGCGCGGAAGAUGUAACGGGGCUAAACCAU